rnacentral:rRNA from 1 species
CGUUUGACCUCGGAUCAGGUAGGGAUACCCGCUGAACUUAAGCAUAUCAAUAAGCGGAGGAAAAGAAACCAACAGGGAUUGCCCUAGUAACGGCGAGUGAAGCGGCAACAGCUCAAAUUUGAAAUCUGGCUCUUUUAGAGUCCGAGUUGUAAUUUGCAGAGGGCGCUUUGGCUUUGGCAGCGGUCCAAGUUCCUUGGAACAGGACGUCACAGAGGGUGAGAAUCCCGUACGUGGUCGCUAGCUAUUGCCGUGUAAAGCCCCUUCGACGAGUCGAGUUGUUUGGGAAUGCAGCUCUAAAUGGGAGGUAAAUUUCUUCUAAAGCUAAAUAUUGGCCAGAGACCGAUAGCGCACAAGUAGAGUGAUCGAAAGAUGAAAAGCACUUUGGAAAGAGAGUCAAACAGCACGUGAAAUUGUUGAAAGGGAAGCGCUUGCAGCCAGACUUGCUUGCAGUUGCUCAUCCGGGCUUUUGCCCGGUGCACUCUUCUGCAGGCAGGCCAGCAUCAGUUUGGGCGGUGGGAUAAAGGUCUCUGACACGUUCCUUCCUUCGGGUUGGCCAUAUAGGGGAGACGUCAUACCACCAGCCUGGACUGAGGUCCGCGCAUCUGCUAGGAUGCUGGCGUAAUGGCUGUAAGCGGCCCGUCUUGAAACACGGACCAAGGAGUCUAACAUCUAUGCGAGUGUUUGGGUGUCAAGCCCGAGCGCGUAAUGAAAGUGAACGGAGGUGGGAACCCGCAAGGGUGCACCAUCGACCGAUCCUGAAGUUUACGGAAGGAUUUGAGUAAGAGCAUGGCUGUUGGGACCCGAAAGAUGGUGAACUAUGCUUGAAUAGGGUGAAGCCAGAGGAAACUCUGGUGGAGGCUCGCAGCGGUUCUGACGUGCAAAUCGAUCGUCAAAUUAGGGCAUAGGGGCGAAAGACUAAUCGAACUAUCUAGUAGCUGGUUCCUGCCGAAGUUCCCUCAGGAUAGCAGUA